UUCUGUCUAGAGCAGCAUCUCAUUUCUCUGCAUUAUUGAUUCAGUAUCUGAUUGUUUCAAUGUGUUUUCAUUGUUCACGGCUCCAACCACUUCAAAACCAAACCGGACUCUCCGACCUUUUCCAACAUCAGUCCCAUCAGCCUCCACACCAACAACAACACAGAGUUUAAUCUCCAGAUCAGGAAGCUUCACACCUUCAUCAUCUUUCCCUGAAACCACAGAGCAGUUUACAGCCGUCUCUGAGGUCUCUCGCCCAGGUUACUUCUUGCCUCCAGUUGUAUGUGUGCCUGUGAUUGUUGUGCUGUUGGCUGUUGUUCUGCUGCUCCUCUACAAAUUGAAGAAGAGGAGGAACUCUGGUUUGAACACCAGAGGAACCUCAGACAGCAGAAACAUGGAGUUAUGUGUCACCUAUGAGAACCGUCCUCCAGUCUCC